UUGGGCGUGAGAGCUCGUACGCGGUUUGUCGCGUCUGCCGUGAAAUUCCGGGGGUCGCCUCCGGAUCUGCGGUGGGUACGGGCAGACUAGAGUGAUGUAGGGGAGACUGAAAUUCCUGGUGUAGCGGUGAAAUGCGCAGAUAUCAGGAGGAACACCGAUGGCGAAGGCAGGUCUCUGGGCAUUAACUGACGCUGAGGAGCGAAAGCAUGGGGAGCGAACAGGAUUAGAUACCCUGGUAGUCCAUGCCGUAAACGUUGGGCACUAGGUGUGGGGGACAUUCCACGUUUUCCGCGCCGUAGCUAACGCAUUAAGUGCCCCGCCUGGGGAGUACGGCCGCAAGGCUAAAACUCAAAGGAAUUGACGGGGGCCCGCACAAGCGGCGGAGCAUGCGGAUUAAUUCGAUGCAACGCGAAGAACCUUACCAAGGCUUGACAUGGACCGGAUCGCCGCAGAAAUGUGGUUUCUCCUUUUGGGGCCGGUUCACAGGUGGUGCAUGGUUGUCGUCAGCUCGUGUCGUGAGAUGUUGGGUUAAGUCCCGCAACGAGCGCAACCCUCGUUCCAUGUUGCCAGCACGUAGUGGUGGGGACUCAUGGGAGACUGCCGGGGUCAACUCGGAGGAAGGUGGGGACGACGUCAAAUCAUCAUGCCCCUUAUGUCUUGGGCUUCACGCAUGCUACAAUGGCCGGUACAAAGGGUUGCGAUACUGUGAGGUGGAGCUAAUCCCAAAAAGCCGGUCUCAGUUCGGAUUGGGGUCUGCAACUCGACCCCAUGAAGUCGGAGUCGCUAGUAAUCGCAGAUCAGCAACGCUGCGGUGAAUACGUUCCCGGGCCUUGUACACACCGCCCGUCAAGUCACGAAAGUUGGUAACACCCGAAGCCGGUGGCCUAACCCCUUGUGGGAGGGAGCCGUCGAAGUGGGACU
rnacentral:rRNA from 1 species